GCGGCCUUGGCGGAGCUGGCAGUCGCGCCGGACUUAGGAUCCGGUGGGGGAAACCCCGUGAGGGUUCGAGUCCCUCAGGCCGCA
rnacentral:tRNA from 1 species